rnacentral:miRNA from 1 species
GGAAGCUAAGCAGGGUCGGGCCUGGUUAGUACCAGGAUGGGAGAAACAUGGCACAGUACUGAGAUGUCCUCCUACAGAACUAACUGUCCCACAGACUUCCGUG